ACACUCUGCUAUUGAAGAUAGAGAUGCAGUCACGGAAAUCUAAACUCUAUAAUACGCUAGUACCCUACUCUGUUGGGUGACAGAAGGGCAAAGAUAUAGUCUGUGCCAUUAGUAAUAAUGGA
rnacentral:autocatalytically_spliced_intron from 1 species